CGUCUAGGCGGAUCGGUCAGUCGGCUGUGAAAGCCCCCGGCUUACCCGGGGAAGUGCAGCCGAUACUGCCGGUCUUGAGGACGAGAGGGGAGAGUGGAACUCCUGGUGGAGCGGUGAAAUGCGUAGAUAUCAGGAGGAACGCCGGUGGCGAAAGCGACUCUCUGGCUCGUUCCUGACGCUGAAGCGCGAAAGCCAGGGGAGCGAACG
rnacentral:rRNA from 1 species